UGCUGUGUGGUGUUCUCCCAGGUGUGUUAAUGCUGUGUGGUGUUCUCCCAGGUGUGUUAAUGCUGUGUGGUGUUCUCCCAGGUGUGUUUCUAUGAGGUGGUGAGUCCUCUCAAAGCCCAGCUCUCUGAGCUCCAUGUCAAGAGGAACAGCCUGGCAGACGACCUGGAGACACAUAGGACUGAGAUCAAGGCCCUUAUGAAGAGUUACGAGGAGGAGCGCAAGGCGAGGUCAGAGCUGGAGAUCAGGAACCAGAGACUAACUCUGGAGCUGGCUGACACUAAAGGGCUCAUCCAGGAGGGAGACUUCAAGAGGACAACUACUCUAACAUCAAACGUGAGCGUGAUGCGUUUGAGUGUGAGGUGAGAGAGUUGAGGAAGAGGCUGGAGCUGCUGGAGAUGACUCAUGAGGUCCAGACCAGGGAGAGGACUGAGCUGAGUCGAGAGGUGUCUACUCUGCAGCAGACGGUGACCCUCCUCCAGAU